rnacentral:lncRNA from 1 species
GUAUAUAGUAUUUGUUUAAGACAUCUAAAUUAUCAAAAUAAAAGUAAGAUUUAUAAUUUUGGGUUUGUAUUUUAUUUGCAUAACACAAUUAUUCUUUCUUUUUUUUUUUUUUAAUUUUUCUAGAUAUGGUGUUCUACAUAAUUCCCCCUAAAAAUAAACAAAAAGAAAAAACUCUAGACUUCUGUUGAAAAAUCGUGUACAACAAUAUUCCCAACUGUCCUUAUUAGUUAAACUCUUUGUUUAGUGAAGAUGUCUUUUUUCCUUUUAUUUUGUUGCGAUGAUGCAUAACAUUUUUGUUCCUGUUAAUUAAUGUAUCAAGUACUACUAGUGUACUACAUAACGUCUUUGGAUAUUUCUGUUUUCAUUUUCUUAUUCUCCAAAAAUUGUUGUCGGCUCAUUCAGUAGAUUCACUUUCAGAGACUCUUCUUCUUAGCUCCUUCCAGGUCGUCGUCGUCGUCGUCCUUCGGAAUAAGCCAUCCAAAAUAUUUCCACAUCUUACAUUGGUUUUUCACGUCAAGCAAAUAAUAAUAUAAUCAUGUGUUAAAAAUAAAUAAAAAACUUAAUGUAUAUGACGGAAUUAUCACAUCACAUACCAAUAUAGUUUCAUUGUGGCUGAAACUCAGAUGGGUCAUUAUUAUUUCAAAAGGUCAAUUAUUAUCCCAAAAAUCUUUAUUCAAAUUUUAUCAUGAAGAGGGUAAAGAUCUUGCUAAAAAUCACACACAUAGAUAAACAAGGGGUCAAAGAGUUGUUGAUUUGUCUAAAUCAACGAUUUCGUGAUUGAUAUGAUCACACGCACAUAGGAAUCAAAGAGUUAGUGAUUGGUUUAGUCAUCCAUUAUUGAUUUGUUAGAAAUUUUUUUUUUAAUAUGUUUUUAACAUUUGUUUUAGUUAGUAGUACAUCGGAGAAGCUUUUACCUAUUGUUCUUAUCUUCGAGUCAAGCCUU